GGAUGUGACGGUGAUCUGGCUGUGACAUCUGUCACCCCGCUGGUCACCAGGGUUGAUUCAGCUGAUCUAGCUGGCCAGGCAGGUGUCCCACACCUCCCCAACUGCUCCAUGUACUCCUGAAGUUGAGCACUUGGUCCAAGAGGGCGACUGCUCCUGACAAAGGAGGACCGUUUCCUCAGUCAAGGGUGUAGAAGUAGCUGUGUUCCCUUGCUAGAACCUCCAAGCAAGCUCUCAAGAUUACACCUAGAAAAAAGUGUGAUUUGCAGCUAUCUGGUAAAUUCCAUCCCCAAUCUAACCAAUGCAAAUAAUU
ensembl:misc_RNA 7SK 7SK RNA